rnacentral:rRNA from 1 species
AACCGCAAUAGGCGUCAAGCACUGGAAUGUCUGACGUCGAAAUAUGAAGGCCUGUAUUCGGCUCAAUGCCCUAAGAGGAGUCUGCGGCGGAUUAGCCUGACGGUAGGGUAACGGCCUACCGUAGCUACGAUCUGUACCGGCAUUGGGAGAUGGAGCCGGGAGAUGGACACUGAGACAAAGGUCCAGGUUCUACGGAGCGCAGCAGUCGCGAAACCUUCGCAAUGCGCGCAAGCGUGACGAGGGGACCCCAAGUGCACAUGUACAACAUGUGCUUUUACGAAGUAUAGAUAGCUUCGGGAAUAAGGGCUGGGUAAGACUGGUGCCAGCCUCCGCGGUAACACCAGCAGCCCAAGUGGUGAUCGCGUUUACUGGGUUUAAGGCGUGCGUAGUCGGUUCGGCAAGUCUUCUGUGAAAUCCUAAGGCUUAACUUUAGGGAUUGCAGAAAAUACUACCGUGCUUGAGGCCGGGGUAGGUGUGGGGUAUUCUUGGGGUAGCGGUGAAAUGCUAUAAUCCCUGGAGGACCACCCGUAGCGAAGGCGCCACACUGGAACGGGCCUGACGAUGAGGUACGAGAGCUAGGGGAGCAAACAGGAUUAGAUACCCUGGUAGUCCUAGCCGUAAACGAUGUGGGUUUAGUGUCCCCUAAACCUCGUGUUUGGGGGGUGCUGAAGGGAAACCGUUAAACCCACCACCUGGGGAGUACGGUCGCAAGGCUGAAACUUAAAGGAAUUGGCGGGGGAACACCACAAGGGGUGGAUGCUGCGGUUCAAUUGGAUACAACGUCGGGAAACUUACCAGGUGCGACGGCAGAA